AGGAUGUAAACAACCUCUUUCGUCGGACAGUCGGAUUGUGCUAUGAAGGAAGUAGCGUUAUAUUUUACAUCUUAACAGCGCGAAUUAAUCGUCGUCAACAAUGAAUUCCAGUGGAAAAGGAUCUGGCGAUUCAUCCCAACUUGUUGCCAGCAGUGACGGGGAUUCCAUCAAAGUGUUUGUGCGAGUACGACCUUUGACCUAUAAGACUGGGCUGACCACAGAUGGAGACCAGAAGCUUUGUCUCACAGUUACCUCAGCCAACACCAUCCGCCUGCUAUCAAAACCAGAACCACGAACCUUCACUUAUGAUCAUGUUGCUGACAUGGAAAUAUCUCAGGAGUCUGUAUUCUCCAGCGUGGCCAAGAAUAUUGUUGAGUCUUGCGUAAAUGGAUACAAUGGAACUAUAUUUGCCUACGGACAAACAGGCUCAGGAAAAACAUUCACCAUGCUUGGACCAUCUGAGUUGGACAACUUCACAGAUGAAUUAAGGGGUGUUAUUCCUCGAUGUUUUGAGUACCUGUUCUUUCUCAUCAACAGAGAGGUGGAAAGGUCUGGCCAGUCCAAGAGUUUCCUUUGCAAAUGUUCAUUUAUUGAGAUCUACAAUGAACAAAUUUACGACCUUCUGGACACAGCCUCAGCCAGCCUGUUCCUCCGGGAGAACAUCAAGAAAGGUUUGUUUGUUGAGGGAGCCGUGGAGAAGUUCGUCAACUCAGCCGCUGAAGCGUACCAGGUGCUGUCUACGGGCUGGCGAAAUAGACGAGUGGCCUCCACCUCCAUGAACAGAGAGUCUUCCAGAUCUCACGCAGUGUUCACCAUGAUGUUGGAGUCUAAAGAGUCAAUCAAUGAAGUGGUGAACAUUCGAAUGUCUCAGUUGAACCUGGUAGACCUGGCAGGGUCUGAGAGGCAGAAAGACACAAACACAGAAGGAUCCAGACUAAAGGAGGCCAGCAGCAUCAAUCGCUCCCUCAUGUGCCUCGGUCAGGUGAUCAUGGCCCUGGUUGAUGUGUCCAAUGGGAAGAACCGUCACAUCUGCUACAGAGAAUCUAAACUUACCUUCUUGCUGAGGGACUCUCUUGGAGGAAAUGCAAAGACCUACAUUAUAGCCAAUGUUCAUCCGGGUUCAAAGUGUUUUGGAGAAACUCUGUCCACCUUGCAGUUUGCCCAGAGGGCCAAGUUGAUCAAGAAUAAGGCCGUCAUCAAUGAAGACACACAGGGAAAUGUGAGGCAGUUACAAGCUGAGGUGAAGAAGCUGAAGGAGCUGCUUGCACAGGCAGUAACUUCUCCAGGAGGGGACUAUAGGAGAGAUGAAGCGCCAGGAGGACCCGGACUCCCCAUAGAUAUUCAACCCGAGGGCUCAUAUAAAGCAAAGUUCAUGGCUGCAGCUCGUCUCUGGAAGAAGUGCGAAGACGAGAGGAGGAUGCUGCUCAACAAAGUGGCUCAGCUUGAGGAGGCCUGGACUCAGAAAGACAAGUUCAUCCAUUCCAGCCGAAUGAUCGUCAAGUUCCGAGAGGACCACAUCUAUCGCCUUGAGAAAAAACUGAAGGCGGAACCAGGCUUAGUUUCAGACAAGGAGUCUCAGGUCGGGAUUGACCAGCUGAAAGACGAGAUAAAGAUAUUGAGAGAUCAGGUUGAACAUCACCCAAAGAUGACUCGAUAUGUAGCAGAGAACUUUUCUCUCAGAGAGGAGAACCGUCAACUCCGUUCUCUUCCGUCAGUGGUGAACGCUGAAGAGGCUGCAACCCAAGUUACUGCAGAUCUGGAAGAUCAUUUCCACAGGGCUAUGGAGACAGAAAGACGUACAGAGGGAGCCUCUUCGACCCCUGUGGCUGUAGACAGUGCCUCGGCUGCUGCCAUUGAGAAGCUGAAGGCUAAGCUGCUCCAGAAACAGACUGACCUCACAGGCGCCCUUCAGGCCUAUGAGGAGUACAAAAAAGUCACCAAGAAGCAGAUGUCUCAGCUGCAGUCUGAGAAAAGGUACCUCAACAAGUCCAACAGGCAUUUGGAAAACAUUUUGGAAGCCACGAACGCUUACAAGAAAAAGGAGGUGUCUGAGCUGAACAGAAUUCACGUUGAAACCAUAAAGAUUCUCACCACGCCCACCAAAUCAUACAACCUGCGGACUCGUCUCGUGCCUUUCUCUAGCCCGGAGCACCUGAAUGGGUCAGACCACGGCACGGACGACCUCUGGUCAGAGCCGCCUCCUUCAGACAUGGCUGAGAUGGCUGUGACUGAGGAACUGUGUCAAGUGCAGGAGCAAGCUAGCUACUUCCAGACACAGUUUAAUGAGGAAGAGCUGAAGAACAGCAAGCUGCAGCAGCAGAUUGCAAAACUUGAGGAGCAGAUCACUGUGAUGUCACAAGAGUCUGACCACAAGGAUGAGCUGCUUUCUACUGAGCGAGCUAACAGGAACACAGAUCAGCUCAACCGACAAGAAACUGCGAACGAGCUGCAACAGAGCCUUCAGUCCGAACAGCAGGCCGCAGAAGUACUGAGGACUGAGAUCCGCGAUCUACGUCUGGUGCUGCAGUCGUCUGACAAGGAGCUGGCUGCUGUGAGGAGCGAGCUGAGAGAGGGUCACAGCGAGCAGCAGAGAGAGACAACUCGGCUCUCCAGCAGUCUGAUCAGCACUCAGCUCCAACUUGACAAAUUCCAGCUGGAGUGGGAGCAGCUUCUGGAGCAGCAUCGGACACUGCAGGAUUCAUUUGACCAGCUCCAAGCUGAGGCCAAGUUUGAUGCGGAUCAGGCUCAACAGCAGCUGCAGGACAGGCAGCAGGAGAUCGAUCAACUGAAGGCACAGCUCACGGAGCUGAAUAGUUCUCUGCAGAUGGAGCAAGAGCACACAAGCACCCUGAUCUCCCAGUUAACAGAAAACAAAGAGAGCACAUCAAAAGAACUUAUUGAUACGAUGGAGCAAAAUACACUGCUGAGAAAGCAAGUCUCAGACCUGACCGUACAGAAUCAACAGCAGGCAUCCAAAAUGGUCAAUCUUGAGCAAAAUUCCAACUCUGCCAACGAAACGAUAAAAGGCUUGGAACAGAAGACUGAACAGGACAAAGAUGUUGUUGUAGAUCUGAUCAACCAAACCAGAGACCUGCGCAGUGAGCUGAGCCAGAAGGACCAGACCAUUGUUCACCUGUGUGAAGACAUCAAUGAUAUCACAGCCAAGUACAAUGAUGUCUGCUUUGAACGGGAGGAUCUCCAGGGGCAAAACUGUAAAAUCCAGGCAGAAAUCUGUGACCUGAAAGAAAAUGUAGAGAGACGAGUGGCAUCCAACAAAAUAGAGGUGGAGGUGUUGCAGGAGGAGGUGGUUUAUGCCACUGAGGAGGUUGAGAGACUCACUAAGGUCUUAGAUGAGCAGAACAGCCUCCUCCAGGAGCAAACUGCCCAGAAGGACAUCGUGAUACAGAAUCUGCAGCAGAAGUUACAAAAACAGCAGGAGGCAGUUGAAAGGACGCUCGGAAAGGGAAAUUUCAAGCCUCUAGUUGAUCUGACAGGCACGCCUAAAUCAUUACCUCGGACACCCUGCACUCCAGGGAGUUUCAGCAGAGACCUGAGCCACGUACUGGAGAGCCAGGAGAGGGAGCUGGAGAAUCGACGCUCCUCCAUGAUGACCAUGGAGAUACUUUUAGCAGAGCUGAACGCGGAGAGGGUGGCCAAGAAUGACGAGAUCCAAAGGCUUAAGAUGCAGCUGACUGAGAAAGAGAUGGUCCGGAUUGAGAUCCAGGCUUUACUUGACCAGUUCUACAGCAAGGAGCACCAGCUGAUUCACAAUGGGAAUAACAAAAGCGAUGACUUGAAUGAUGCCUUCAAGAAAACUAUGCUUAAAGAGCUACAGGAGGAGAGAGCAGAUAAGAGCAACAUAAUGCAGCAGCUGUCUGAAACUCAAAAAAAGACUGCAAGCUCAGGAGUCGUUGUUGGGCCAGUCUCAAACCUGCGUCCAGGAGCUGACCAAUGAGCUGAGGAACCGCUGUCUAGAGUUGAGAGAUGUGGGCCAGAGGACACAUGAAGAUGAGAAAUGUGUCCAGGAGAAUGAGCUUCUCCGUAAGCAGAAUGUCAAGCUGUCAGAGGAGAAUGGAAAACUUGUCGGACAUAAGAACCACAAACAGAGGAUUGAAUAUCUGGUGAAUCUGAAGAAGGACAACACCAAACUUCAAGAGGUAAAUGAAAAACUCAAAACGGAGAUGAUCUUAAUGCGGGACAACGGUGGAUAUCUGCCACUGGAGAUUACCUAAUUUAUUGUUUAAAAUUACAGGAUUUUGCAUUGUUACCAGUAAAAUGUUUUGGUUUGAAUGGUUUCAGGUACAAAACAUUUUUAAAUUCAUCUGCUGUUACAGUAGCAUGGACAUAUCAACUGUGACAAAACUUAAAUUAUUCAAGCUCCCUCUGUCCCCGUAGGUUUCUAUGGAUGUCAAUUAUUACACUUAGACACACUUCUCCCACUAUAUUGAAAUUACAACAAUGCUGAAUUUAGUGUCAAUGUGAAAACUGGACAUUUGUGUUUUUAUAAUUUUUAGGUGCGUAUGUCUUGUACUGUGAUUUGAGUGACCUGAUUUGUAUCCAUGGUAGCCUAUAUGGUUGGUUGUAUUUGUUUACCAUCACACUGAGCUAUAUAUGCAUAGUUGUUUUUUUUUGCAUAAUGAACUUGUCCUUCAAUUGUAAUGCUAUAAUUAAAACAAUUGUAUUCA